UAAGUCUUCUGAUGCUGGAGAUAGCAAAUACUUUCUUUUUUCAACAAAUUCAUCUCUUCUUACCCUCUGCAACUCUCCCAGUCAUGCUGAGCAGCACUUGUACUGGCAGCAGCCUGAAAGAAUCAUUCAAAACCAUACCUGUUUUGCACACUUUUUAGUAUUUAAAUGUGCUUAUCCCAUCAGGGAUGCUCGAGCUGCCAGUGACAGUGGGGAGGGCUGAAAGCUUUCAGCCAUGGUUGCAACAAAACCUUGGUUACUUACAACAUAAGACACUUCCAUGGCAUUUCCACCACAGGGAUCAUCUGUCAAUUUCAACGUGGGCAGCUGCAGCUCAGGGAGGUUCAACCUGUGGAUUUACCUAUAGAUUUACAGAGUCCUUGCAAUGCUGCUGUGCUGCAGAGGGCAGUGAGGGAAUGGCACUGCAGUGGGUUGGAGCUGGGCAAAGUGGAGUGGCCUCAGACUUUUUCCCAUCUUUACCUUAACCCUGUGCCAUGGCUGUUUCCCCAGUGCUCACUCACUUCAAGGUCUUGUACGGAAAGUUUAAUCAUUUGUUCCUGCAAAAUGUGGGAGAAUCAGGGUAGGGGAGUCUUAAUACUCUGCAUCAGAGCUACAGAGCACUCCCAUUUGGAGCCACCUGCCUGUGCAUUUCAGAUUUCAGACCAGCAUCAGGCAGUGCUAUUCAGCAGCCAUCUGCACUUGCCUCCAUGCUGAGGCUGUAGUUACAAACCUAACCCCAAAGCAUCUCUGCCUCUGGUCCAGUGUCAAUCUCGACCUGGCUGUGCUGAGGAACACGCCUCCCUCUUGAUGUCAUACGGCUUUUCUCAUUUUGCACCCUCCUUUCUCUACUGCUGCCCCCCCACUUCAGCCAGGAGCUGUGCUGUGUAGCCAAGGAGCUGCAGCAGUGAGGAGCCUCUGCCCUCCUAGCGUUCUGCUGCUCCAGCUAGAAUAACACCAGCUACCAAGAAAGAAUAACCCACAAGGAGCCUAAUGAAACAGCAAUCUGGCAUUAAGAUGUGUAUAUAGUUGCCAUUUGUUAAACUGACAGAUGACAUUUGGAACACGAAGCCCCUAUUCAUUUUUUAAA
rnacentral:lncRNA from 1 species